GCGAACGCUGGCGGCGUGCUUCACACAUGCCAGUCGCACGGUGAAGCCCUUCGGGGUGGAUCAGUGGCGAACGGGUGAGUAACACGUGAGCAACCUGCCCCUGGCUCUGGGACAACCACUGGAAACGGUGGCUAAUACCGGAUACGACCCGCCUCGGCAUCGAGUGUGGGUGGCAAGUUUUUCGGCUGGGGAUGGGCUCGCGGCCUAUCAGCUUGUUGGUGAGGUGAAGGCUCACCAAGGCGACGACGGGUAGCCGGCCUGAGAGGGCGACCGGCCACACUGGGACUGAGACACGGCCCAGACUCCUACGGGAGGCAGCAGUGGGGAAUAUUGCACAAUGGGCGAAAGCCUGAUGCAGCGACGCCGCGUGAGGGAUGACGGCCUUCGGGUUGUAAACCUCUUUCAGCUCCGAAGAAGCGAAAGUGACGGUAGGAGCAGAAGAAGCACCGGCUAACUACGUG
rnacentral:rRNA from 1 species